AGAGUCUGGCAUGGAAGAGGGUUUUUUAUCUGAACAUUGCAAGUAUUUGAGUUAGACCUCUGGCCAUGCAAUCUCUCUCUCUCUCUCUCUCUCUCUCUCUCUCCCCCCCCCUUCUCUCCCUUUCUCUCUCUCUCUCUCUCUAGUUUUUUCUUUUCUCUUUCUCUUUAAUGCCAUUAAAGGAUUUUUGCCCUUAUCUAAUCUUGGCAAGGAAAGGGUAGAAUUCUGCAUUUUUUUAUUCUUGCUACUAAAACUGUGACCAUAAUCCUAAAAAUUGUCUCUCAGUUAUUAGAAUCUGUAGGCACUUUUUCUCCAUUUCCUCUCCCCCUUUUUAGGCCUUCGUAUCCUGCUAUCUCCUAUCUUUUCCUCAUAUGCACCCUAAUGUCUUAUCUGUCACCAUAGAGAUUGUAAAAUCAUGAAGACCUGUUGGCCUAGCAUCUGUUCUUAGGAGGAAAUAAAUGAGUGUGUGUGUGACUUUGGGAACAAAGUAUUGCUGAGGCUAAUGAUUACUCAUUCAUUUUUUUUUUCAUUCAUUUAUCCCUGAAACAAACAAUUAUCGAGCACCAACUAUGUCUUAGGCACUGGGAAUACAAAAUUCAGUUAGCAUCAUGCAGACCCUUUAGCUGUCUCCAUUUCAAUAGGAGAGAUAAACACUGGAUUGCAAUACAUUGUGCUCAGACACAAUAAUAAGAGGUGCGUAGAUUAAAAUGGUCUGACACAGCAUUUGAAACAUCCAUAUAACACCUUUCCAAAGCUUCCUCAGGCCAUGAGCAUGGGGAGAAGCUUUGUUUCUGUGGUUACCAAAGGUCUCAUCUUAGACCCACCAAAGUCGGCAGAAACCUGAGAGUGAGCCGGGAACUCACGGUUCAGGGACACUGGAUAUGCCCCAGAGAUAGCAGAGGGGAAUGAAGACAUGAAUGCUGAGCUGGGCUCUGCAGGUGUUGGAUGGUCAAACCAAGCUGCC
rnacentral:lncRNA from 1 species